GUGGGGAAUAUUGGACAAUGGGCGAAAGCCUGAUCCAGCCAUGCCGCGUGUGUGAAGAAGGUCUUCGGAUUGUAAAGCACUUUAAGUUGGGAGGAAGGGCAGUAAGUUAAUACCUUGCUGUUUUGACGUUACCGACAGAAUAAGCACCGGCUAACUUCGUGCCAGCAGCCGCGGUAAUACGAAGGGUGCAAGCGUUAAUCGGAAUUACUGGGCGUAAAGCGCGCGUAGGUGGUUUUGUAAGUUGGAGGUGAAAUCCCCGGGCUAAACCUGGGAACUGCCUCCAAAACUGCAUGACUAGAGUACGGUAGAGGGUAGUGGAAUUUCCUGUGUAGCGGUGAAAUGCGUAGAUAUAGGAAGGAACACCAGUGGCGAAGGCGACUACCUGGACUGAUACUGACACUGAGGUGCGAAAGCGUGGGGAGCAAACAGGAUUAGAAACCCGUGUAGUCC
rnacentral:rRNA from 1 species